AGGAACGUCAUGGAGGACAGUGAUCAAUCCAUUUAAGAUCGAUAUACGGUUCACCUCCCUUGUAGGUAGAUGAGUCUUGGAUCUACAGCGUAAAAAUAUUGGGGUAAAGGUGCAGGUAGUUGUUAGAGAACAACUUGCACUGAGCGUGACCAACACAAGAACUACAUGGAUGUCUACUCACUCGUCAGUGAUCUUCUCGAUGCUACAGUGGUGUGAGUGGUCCUUUAACCUGCGGUGUCAUUAGCUAUUCACAAUGAGGCUACUAAGUUUGACUGCACAUUCCUUUGGUCCCUAGCCAUUCGGAUCUUUGCUGUGUAUGUUAGCUUUAAUAUGUUCAGAUUCGCUGUUUGGAGUAGGAUGCAUCUAGAUAAAAUCGAUCGAUCUUGGUAGAAAAAGAGAAAUCCUAUGCGAUUUAUGAGACUAAGUUCAAAAAGUCUUUGGCCAAAGCAAGUGUGAAUACUGGAAAAAAAUUUCUACAAAAUUCACAAAUAAACUUGAGUCCAGCCAAUCUAGCAUAUGACUGAUGAUGGAGUCUGACGAUUCUACUUUCAUUCUACUGAGUUGCCACUACAUACUGCUAGGUGUCACUGGUGGAUUGUGAGACUUAUUGGGCGUCAUCUUGAUGAUCGAUGGUCCUCGAAAAGUAGAAUCGAAAAUGUUUCAAUCUAUCAAAAAGAGUUUC
rnacentral:lncRNA from 1 species